GAUGAACGCUGGCGGCGUGCCUAAUACAUGCAAGUCGAGCGAACGGACGAUGAUCUUGCUUCGCGGAUGUUAGCGGCGGACGGGUGUGUAACGCGUGUAUAACCUACCUAUAAUACUGGUAAAAUUUCGGGAAACGGGAUCUUAUACCGUAGGAUAUUUUGCACCGCAGUGGUCAAAGGUGAAUUACGGUCUUUCGGUCACUUAUCGAUGGAUCCGCGCUGCAUUAGCUAGUUGGUAAGGUAACGGCCUACCAAGGCAACGAUGCGUAACCGACCGGAGGGACGGAUCGCCGACACUGGAACUGAGCCACGGACCUGACUACUACGGGAGGCAGCAGUAGCGAAUCUUACGCAAUGGGCGAAAGCCUGACGGAGUAACGCCGAGUGAGUGAUGAAAGUCUUCGGAGCGUAAAAAUCUGUUAUUAGGGAAGAACAUAUGUGUACGUAAAUGUGCACAGAGUGACGGUAACUAGUAAGAAAGCACCGGCUAACUACGUG
rnacentral:rRNA from 1 species